GACGAACGCUGGCGGCGUGCUUAACACAUGCAAGUCGAACGGAAAGGCCCUGCUUGCAGGGUGCUCGAGUGGCGAACGGGUGAGUAACACGUGGGUGAUCUGCCCCUUACUUUGGGAUAAGCCUGGGAAACUGGGUCUAAUACCGGAUAGGACCAUGCUGUAGGUGGUGUGGUGGAAAGAUUUUUUCGGUAAGGGAUGAGCUCGCGGCCUAUCAGCUUGUUGGUGGGGUAAUGGCCUACCAAGGCGUCGACGGGUAGCCGGCCUGAGAGGGUGGACGGCCACAUUGGGACUGAGAUACGGCCCAGACUCCUACGGGAGGCAGCAGUGGGGAAUAUUGCACAAUGGGCGCAAGCCUGAUGCAGCGACGCCGCGUGGGGGAUGACGGCCUUAGGGUUGUAAACUCCUUUCAGCCAUGACGAAGCCUCUUUUGGGGUGACGGUAGUGGUAGAAGAAGCACCGGCUAACUACGU
rnacentral:rRNA from 1 species